rnacentral:rRNA from 1 species
AAACCAACAGGGAUUGCCUUAGUAGCGGCGAGUGAAGCGGCAAAAGCUCAAAUUUGAAAUCUGGCGCCUUCGGUGUCCGAGUUGUAAUUUGAAGAUUGUAACCUUGGGGUUGGCUCUUGUCUAUGUUUCUUGGAACAGGACGUCACAGAGGGUGAGAAUCCCGUGCGAUGAGAUGCCCAAUUCUAUGUAAGGUGCUUUCGAAGAGUCGAGUUGUUUGGGAAUGCAGCUCUAAGUGGGUGGUAAAUUCCAUCUAAAGCUAAAUAUUGGCGAGAGACCGAUAGCGAACAAGUACAGUGAUGGAAAGAUGAAAAGAACUUUGAAAAGAGAGUGAAAAAGUACGUGAAAUUGUUGAAAGGGAAGGGUUUGAGAUCAGACUCGAUAUUUUGUGAGCCUUGCCUUCGUGGCGGGGUGACCCGCAGCUUAUCGGGCCAGCAUCGGUUUGGGCGGUAGGAUAAUGGCGUAGGAAUGUGACUUUACUUCGGUGAAGUGUUAUAGCCUGCGUUGAUGCUGCCUGCCUAGACCGAGGACUGCGAUUU